rnacentral:rRNA from 1 species
GAUGAACGCUGGCGGCGUGCCUAAUACAUGCAAGUCGAGCGAACAGACGAGGAGCUUGCUCCUCUGACGUUAGCGGCGGACGGGUGAGUAACACGUGGAUAACCUACCUAUAAGACUGGGAUAACUUCGGGAAACCGGAGCUAAUACCGGAUAAUAUAUUGAACCGCAUGGUUCAAUAGUGAAAGACGGUUUUGCUGUCACUUAUAGAUGGAUCCGCGCCGCAUUAGCUAGUUGGUAGGGUAACGGCUUACCAAGGCAACGAUGCGUAGCCGACCUGAGAGGGUGAUCGGCCACACUGGAACUGAGACACGGUCCAGACUCCUACGGGAGGCGGCAGUAGGGAAUCUUCCGCAAUGGGCGAAAGCCUGACGGAGCAACGCCGCGUGAGUGAUGAAGGUCUUCGGAUCGUAAAACUCUGUUAUUAGGGAAGAACAAAUGUGUAAGUAACUAUGCACGUCUUGACGGUACCUAAUCAGAAAGCCACGGCUAACUACGUGCCAGCCGCCGCAGUAA